rfam:Bombyx mori DNA, contig: Bm_scaf35_contig20969, strain: p50T/Dazao, build 2, whole genome shotgun sequence.
UCUAUAAACAACAGUUGUUACUUCCUCAGGCGACAUGUUUCCAAAUUCUGUCACUGGGAAUGUAAUAACUAUUGUGAAUAGA